AUACGUAUGGUGCAAGCGUUAUCCGGAUUUACUGGGUGUAAAGGGAGCGUAGACGGAUGUGCAAGUCUGGAGUGAAAACCCGGGGCUCAACCCCGGGACUGCUUUGGAAACUGUGUAUCUAGAGUGCUGGAGAGGCAAGUGGAAUUCCUAGUGUAGCGGUGAAAUGCGUAGAUAUUAGGAGGAACACCAGUGGCGAAGGCGGCUUGCUGGACAGUAACUGACGUUGAGGCUCGAAAGCGUGGGGAGC
rnacentral:rRNA from 1 species